rnacentral:rRNA from 1 species
UACGUAGGGGGCAAGCGUUGUCCGGAUUUAUUGGGCGUAAAGAGCGUGUAGGCGGCUUUGCAAGUCCGUUGUGAAAACUCGAGCUCAACCUCGAGACGCCGGUGGAAACUGCAAAGCUAGAGUCCGGAAGAGGCGAGUGGAAUUCCUGGUGUAAGCGGUGAAAUGCGCAGAUAUCAGGAGGAACACCAAUGGCGAAGGCAGCUCGCUGGGACGGUACUGACGCUGAGACGCGAAAGCGUGGGGAGCAAACAGG